rnacentral:rRNA from 1 species
AUUGAACGCUGGCGGCAGGCCUAACACAUGCAAGUCGAACGCGUGGCGGACGGGUGAGAAAUGUCUGGGACACUGCGUGAUGGAGGGGGAUCACUACUGGAAACGGUAGCUAAUACCGCAAACUAGCGGAUGUGCCCAUAUGGGAUUCGCUAGUGGGUGGGGUAAGGGCUCACAUAGGCGACGAUCCCUAGCUGGUCUGAGAGGAUGAACAGCCACACUGGAACUGAGACACGGUCCAGACUCCUACGGGAGGCAGCAGUGGGGAAUAUUGCACAAUGGGCGCAAGCCUGAUGCAGCCAUGCCGCGUGUAUGAAGAAGGCCUUCGGGUUGUAAAGUACUUUCAGCGGGGAGGCGUUACCCGCAGAAGAAGCACCGGCUAACUCCGUGCCAGCAGCCGCGGUAAUUC